rnacentral:lncRNA from 10 species
AGGACCUCCCUGCCCUCUCCGCCAUUAACUCGGAGCCCGGCGCAGUGGAAAGCGGGCCAAGAAGCAGAGGUCCAGGUUCCAACUCUUGAUUCUAUCACAAAACACUGCACCCGAGGCAGCCAGGCAGCUUCCGAAGACCUCGUUUUCGUUCUUGUUGCCCAGGCUGGAGUGCAAUGGCACAGUCUUGGCUCACUGCAACCUCCAUCUCCCAGGUUCAAGUGAUUCUUCCACCUCAGCCUCCCGAGUAGCUGGUGUUACAGGCACCCGCCACCACGCCUGGCUAAUUUUGUAUUUUUAGUAGAAACGGGGUUUCACUAUGUGGCCAGGCUGGUCUCAAACUCCUGACCUCAGGUGAUCAGACUGCCUCAGCCUCCCAAAGUGCUGGGAUUACAGGCAUAAGCCACCGCACCUGGCCAACAAUUUUUUAAGGAAAAGAAGAAAGGAAAAUUAUUGACCUCAGCUUCCACCUUAACUAGAAAAGACCAAAUGAAACCUAAAAUAAAAAGAAGAAAAGAAAUAAUAAAAAUCAGAGUUGAAAUCAAUGAAACAGAGAACAGAAAAUAAUAGAGAACAUCAAUGAAACAGAACGUUCUUGAGAAAAUUGUUAAAUUUAUAAAUUAUAGUUAGAUUGAUCAGGAACAAAAGAGAAAAUAAAAAUGACCAUUAUCACAAAUGAAAUGGAUAACUUUACUACACAUUCUACAGAUAUUUUUAAAGUCUGAGGCACAGACCUUUAAUAUAAAAACGCUUUAUAGUUCUGUCUAGGGACAUAAGAUCUCAGGAAAAAGAAAAGAAACAUCAGUAAAAGCACUUUUGCUCUGUUUUACAAAAUUGAAAAUCAAUCCCGUGCCUUGUCCAGGUUGUUUUAGGUACACGAGUGUAAAACUGUAUGGUACCCACUGUAAUAGACGAAGCCCAGCUUUCCAUUUGAUCAUGUGCUUAUGUUUUCAUCUAUGGGGUCCCCAGGACCCCUGCACACAGUAGGUGUGCAGUAAACGUUGAAUUCUCCUAAACACAUCCAUUCCUGUUUCUGGCAGAACUUUUGCAAACCCAUCCCAGUUGGAUGCAGCAACAUCAGAGGGGUGAUUACCCCCAAUUGCCAAAGAGGUUUCCAGCGCUGGAAGGAAAUUUGGAGAUCAAGGCCGAGUUGGCCUCAGCCAAGUGAAAUGGGAAUCAGGACCAUUACAAAGAAAUUCAAUUAAAAUAAAAGACACAUCAUAAACUUUGACUGGAAAACUCCAAAUGGAAUUAAUAUUACGUUGGUCAAAUUACCUAGAUAAUUGCUUUCAUUUUUCAUUGCAUCUUGAUAGAAAGGACCAAGCUACUUAAAAAUGAGUCCCAAAAUGUAUCCAUUUCAUCUUCUCAAUGACUCCUAAAACCCUCUCCAAAUGACUCAGAUGCAUUAGCUAGCUAUUGCCACAUAACAUAUUACCCCAAAACCUAACAGCUCAAAACUACAACAAACAUCCUCCCCAGCUUUUGAUAUUUGCUGUCUUUUUCAUUUCAGGCGUGGGCCGGGUGAGGAUGUAGUGAUUUCAUGUUGCGGUUUUACUUUGCAUCUUCCUAAUGAUCAGUGCAACUGAACACUUCUUCCAUGAUGGUUGACAAUUUAGCAACCCUCUUCUGUGAAGUAUCCCCAUCUGUCCAUGGGGUUGUCUGUCUUAUCCUUCAUAAGCUCUAGUUCUCUGUAUUGGCUGAAUACAAGUCCUGUUGGGGAUAUACACAUAUAUUGCAACUAUCCUUCCCACUCUCUUGACAGUGUCUGUUGAUGAACAGAAUUUCUUGUUUUCAAUACAGUUCAAUUUAUCAAUUUCUCAGUUAGCACUUUUGAGCACUGUUUUAAGAAAUCUUUAGGCCGGGUGUGAUGGCUCACACCUGUAAUCCCACCACUUUGGGAGGCCAAGGCGGGCAGAGUUAGGUUAGUGCACUUCUGUUUAGGGAGUUAGGAGUUAGUGCAGGUUAGGAGUUUGAGACCAGCCUGGCCAACACGGUGAAACCCCGUCUCUUAAUAAAAAUACAAAAAAUUAGCUGGGUGUGGUGGCGGGCGCCUGUAAUCCCAGCCACUUGAGAGGCUGAGACCAGAGAAUCGCUUGAACCUGUGAGCAUGGAGGUUGCCGUAAGCCAAGACCAUGCCGUUACACUCCAGCCUGGUGACAGAAUGAGACUCCAUCCCAAAAAAAGAAAAGAAAAGAAAGAAAGAAGGAAAGGAAAGAAGGAAAGAAGGAAAGAAGGAAAGAAGGAAAGAAAGAAAGAAAGAAAGAAAGAAAGAAAGAAAGAAAGAAAGAAAGAAAGAAAGAAAGAAAAGAAAAGAAAAGAAAGAAAUCUUUAUUUGCUCCAAGGAUACAAAGACGUCCUCCUAUAUUUUCCUCUAAAAGCUUGAUUUGUUUUCACUUUUCACACUUAGCUCUGCAGUCCGUAUGGAAUGGGUUUUUUGGUGUGGCGGGAGGUGGAUCAAGACAAGCCUUUCCCAUACAAAUCUCCAGUUCACCCAGAAUUAUUUAUCAAAAAGACCAUUCCCCCCUUCCCCCAACGAGGUAGGCUUCCUGUCACUUUUCUUGUUGCUAGAAGUGGAUUUUGGAUUGCUGGAAGUGAUUACAACAAUCUGACAUCCCCUUAGUGAUUUACACAUGUAUAUACAUCUACAUUAGCACUUGUGCCAAAGAUUAGAAACAUUUAAAUGUCCACAUAUGGAGUCAGAUGAAAUUAUGAUUACAUUGAGAUAACAGACCACCAUGAAGCCAUUGAAAAGCCUGAGUAGAUCUGUGUGCGUAGAUAUGAACAGUCUUGGGUUGUAUUAGUUACAUUUAAAAAACAGAGUUGGGCCGGGCGUGGUGGCUCACACCUGUAAUCCCAACACUUUGGGAGGCCGAGGCGGGCAGAUCACUUGAGGUCAGGAGUUCAAGACCAGCCUGGCCAACAUGGUGAAACCUCGUCUCUACUAAAAAUACCAAAAUUAGCCAGGCAUGGUGGUGGGCACCUGUAAUCCCAGCUACUCAGGGGCUGAGGCAGGAGAAUCGCUUGAACCUGGGAGGCCGAGGUUGCAGUGAGCCAAGAUUUCGCCACUGAACUCUAGCCUGGGCAACAAUCGCGAGACUUCAUCUCAAAAAAAAAUAGUAAUAAAGUAAAAAUAGGCCUGGCGCGGUGGCUCACGCCUGUAAUCCCAGCACUUUGGGAGGCCGAUGCAGGUUGGAUCACCUGAGGUCAGGAGUUUGAAACCAGCCUGACCAACAUGGUUAAACCCCGUCUCUACUAAAUACAAAAAAAAAUUAGCUGGGCAUAGUGGUAGGUGCCUGUAAUCCCAGCUACUCAAGAGGCUGAGGUAGGAGAAUGGCUUGAACCCAAGAGGCAGAGGUUGCAGUCAGCCGAGAUUACGCCAUUGCACUCCAGCCUGGGCAAUAAGAGUGAAACUCCAUCUCAAAAAAACAAAAAAUAAAUAAAUAAAUAAAUAAAUAAAAUAAAAAAUAGAGCUAAGUUCUCAUGUAGUAAAAGGGAAAGAAAAUGAGGAGCAGAAAAGCCUGAAUAAAAUGCAACAUUUGUGAAAAAACGUGGGUGUUGUAUACAUAUUCAUGACUGUUAUAUAAAAUAUCUCCACAGGCACCCACAGGAAAUGAUAGUGACAGUUGCCCUGGAAAGAAAUUUAGAGACAGGCACAGGAGGGAAACUGUCCUCCAGACGUAUUUUUAUAUGGUUUCAAUUCUUUUUUCCCAUGUGCAUGUAUUUCAGAUUUUUAUGUACUAACGUACACAUUUAUGUAUGUAAUGUACAUAUUAUAUAUUAAUGUACAUAUACAUUUAAUGUAUUAUACCUUAAAAUACCUUUUCAUUAAAGAUAAAGUCAGACAAACUUUUUUUAAAAAGUUAAUAUAUGCCCAUUAUUAAAAAAAAAAGUUGGACAAAAUAGAAAAGUGCAAAGAAGAAAAUAAAAUUAGCCCAGAUCCCAAUCCCCGCAAGUGACCACUAGCAACCUUUCAGUGUCUUUUCUCCCAGGCUCUUCUACAUCACUGAAAUCAUGGUGUAGGAAUACUCUUUUAUCCCACAACUUUCACAAAACUGUACCAGAUUUUCUGUGUCAUUAACUUCCUGCCCCAGCAUGCUCUGUGAUGCCGGCUGUUUCAAGUCCUUGCUAUAAGUGAUAAUGCUCUUAUCAGAGGUGUGUGAACCAGAGCAACUCCAUCUUGAAUAGGCGCUGGGUAAAAUGAGGCUGAAACCUACUGGGCUGCAUUCCCAGAUGGUUAAGGCAUUCUAAGACACAGGAUGAGAUAGGAGGUUGGCACAAAAUACAGGUCAUAAAGACCUUGCUGAUAAAACAGUUUGCAGUAAAGGAGCCGGCCAAAGCCCACCAAAACCAAAAUGGCCAUGAAAGUGACCUCUGGUUGUCCUCACUGCUACACUCCCACCAGCACCAUGACAGUUUACAGAUGCCAUGGCAACGUCAGGAAGGGGAGGCAUGAAUAAUCCCCCCUUUGUUUCGCAUAUCAUCAAGAAAUAGCCAUAAAAAUGGGCAGCCAGCAGCCCUCAGAGCUGCUCUGUCCAUGGAGUAGCCAUGCUUUUAUUCCUUC